CGACACAUUUAGCAGCCACUGUAACCAGGCCCUUUCUUGUCCGUCCACACCUAUCGCUACCCAUCACUAAUGAGUUUAUGAAGCCAUUAUAGAAUGCCUCAGUGUCCAGCCUCUAUCACCUUACUGCUACUGUGGCCACUGGGUCGUUGUGCUGGGACAAUAAGGAGCGAUGGGUCUCAGGAUUUAACUUGACUAUGAAUGGGGCUGGAAUGAAUGGACAGGUAUGGUCCGUCUGGCUCCAAUACACAUCUAGACCCAGGCUCUUGCUCAACAGCUUUCAAUUUUAGAUGUGUGAUGAAUACAUUGGAAAUCUUCUCUCUCCUCUCAACUGUCAGCUUUGAGAAGACUUCAUUUGAGGCGAAUCACGGGGGAUCUGGGCCUGGUCAUGUGUCUGUAGUAGUGUAUCCCUCCAAUCCAGCUCAUUGAAGAAAAACCUUUCGUCCAAUUAUGAGGCUACAUCCGGGGCACGGAAGGAUAUGGCCUGACAACAUAUUCAAUAAACUCAUCAAAGAUCUCUGAAACUGGAAACACUUAUCUCCCUCGCUAGCUUUAAGCACCAGCUGUCAGAGCAGCUCACAGAUCACUGCACCUGUACAUAG
rnacentral:lncRNA from 1 species